AUACGUAGGGGGCAAGCGUUGUCGGGAAUUACUGGGCGUAAAGAGCUCGAAGGCGGCUCAGCAAGUCGGUCGUGAAAGCCCGAGGCUCAACCUCGGAACUGCGGUCGAUACUGCUGUGGCUAGAGUCCGGUAGAGGAGAGUGGAAUUCCCGGUGUAGCGGUGGAAUGCGCAGAUAUCGGGAGGAACACCAGUGGCGAAGGCGGCUCUCUGGGCCGGUACUGACGCUGAGGAGCGAAAGCGUGGGGAGCAAACAGGAUUAGAAACCCUAGUAGUCC
rnacentral:rRNA from 1 species